UACGUAGGGGGCAAGCGUUGUCCGGAUUUAUUGGGCGUAAAGAGCGUGUAGGCGGUUAGGUAGGUCCGUUGUGAAAACUCGAGGCUCAACCUCGAGACGCCGAUGGAAACCAUCUGACUAGAGUCCGGAAGAGGAGAGUGGAAUUCCUGGUGUAGCGGUGAAAUGCGUAGAUAUCGUGAGGAAGACCAGUGGCGAAGGCGGGUCUCUGGACAGUUCCUGACACUGAGGCACGAAGGCCAGGGGAGCAAACGGGG
rnacentral:rRNA from 1 species